rnacentral:rRNA from 1 species
GAUGAACGCUGGCGGCGUGCCUAAUACAUGCAAGUCGAGCGAACAGACGAGGAGCUUGCUCCUCUGACGUUAGCGGCGGGCGGGUGAGUAACACGUGGAUAACCUACCUAUAAGACUGGGAUAACUUCGGGAAACCGGAGCUAAUACCGGAUAAUAUAUUGAACCGCAUGGUUCAAUAGUGAAAGACGGUUUUGCUGUCACUUAUAGAUGGAUCCGCGCCGCAUUAGCUAGUUGGUAAGGUAACGGCUUACCAAGGCAACGAUGCGUAGCCGACCUGAGAGGGUGAUCGGCCACACUGGAACUGAGAUACGGUCCAGACUCCUACGGGAGGCAGCAGUAGGGAAUCUUCCGCAAUGGGCGAAAGCUUGACGGAGCAACGCCGCGUGAGUGAUGAAGGUCUUCGGAUCGUAAAACUCUGUUAUUAGGGAAGAACAAAUGUGUAAGUAACUAUGCACGUCUUGACGGUACCUAAUCAGAAAGCCACGGCUAACUACGUG